rnacentral:rRNA from 1 species
UACGUAGGGUGCAAGCGUUGUCCGGAAUUAUUGGGCGUAAAGAGCUCGUAGGCGGUUUGUUGCGUCGGCUGUGAAAUCCCGAGGCUCAACCUCGGGUCUGCAGUCGAUACGAGCAAACUAGAGUGUUGCAGGGGAGACUGGAAUUCCUGGUGUAGCGGUGAAAUGACGCAGAUAUCAGGAAGAACACCGGUGGCGAAGGCGGCUCUCUGGGCCUUACCUGACGCUGAGGAGCGAAAGCGUGGGUAGCGAACAGG